rnacentral:rRNA from 1 species
GACGAACGCUGGCGGCGUGCCUAAUACAUGCAAGUCGAGCGGACUUAAAAAGCUUGCUUUUUAAGUUAGCGGCGGACGGGUGAGUAACACGUGGGCAACCUGCCUGUAAGACUGGGAUAACUUCGGGAAACCGGAGCUAAUACCGGAUAAUCCUUUUCUACUCAUGUAGAAAAGCUGAAAGACGGUUUACGCUGUCACUUACAGAUGGGCCCGCGGCGCAUUAGCUAGUUGGUGAGGUAACGGCUCACCAAGGCGACGAUGCGUAGCCGACCUGAGAGGGUGAUCGGCCACACUGGGACUGAGACACGGCCCAGACUCCUACGGGAGGCAGCAGUAGGGAAUCUUCCGCAAUGGACGAAAGUCUGACGGAGCAACGCCGCGUGAGUGAUGAAGGUUUUCGGAUCGUAAAACUCUGUUGUUAGGGAAGAACAAGUACGAGAGUAACUGCUCGUACCUUGACGGUACCUAACCAGAACGCCACGGCUAACUACGUG